AUGAACGCUAGCGACAGGCCUAACACAUGCAAGUCGAGGGGCAGCACAAGGAUAGCAAUAUUCUGGUGGCGACCGGCGCACGGGUGAGUAACACGUAUGCAACCUACCUGUAAGAGGGGAAUAACCCGGAGAAAUUCGGACUAAUACCGCAUAAUACCGCUGAACUGCAUGGUUUAGUGGUUAAACAUUUAUGGCUUACAGAUGGGCAUGCGUAUGAUUAGCUAGUUGGUGAGGUAACGGCUCACCAAGGCAACGAUCAUUAGGGGUUCUGAGAGGAAGGUCCCCCACACUGGUACUGAGACACGGACCAGACUCCUACGGGAGGCAGCAGUGAGGAAUAUUGGUCAAUGGGCGAGAGCCUGAACCAGCCAAGUCGCGUGAAGGAAGAAGGUUCUAUGGAUUGUAAACUUCUUUUAUAAGGGAAUAAAAAAGAGUACGUGUACUCUAUUGUAUGUACCUUUUGGAAAUAAAGGAUGGGCUAAAUCCCGUGCCCGCCAGCCGGCGGUAAUACGGAGGAUCCCAAGCGUUAUCCGGAUUUAUUGGGUUUAAAGGGUGCGUAGGCGGACCCUUAAGUCAGUGGUGAAAGUUUGCGGCUCAACCGUAAAAUUGCCAUUGAAACUGAAGGUCUUGAGUGUAAAUGAGGUAGGCGGAAUGUGUUGUGUAGCGGUGAAAUGCUUAGAUAUAACACAGAACACCAAUUGCGAAGGCAGCUUACUAGGAUACAACUGACGCUGAGGCACGAAAGCGUGGGGAUCAAACAGGAUUAGAUACCCUGGUAGUCCACGCAGUAAACGAUGAAUACUAACUGUAUGCGAUAUAC
rnacentral:rRNA from 1 species